rnacentral:rRNA from 1 species
GACGAACGCUGGCGGCGUGCCUAACACAUGCAAGUCGAACGGAAACGCCCUGCUUUUGUGGGGUGCUCGAGUGGCGAACGGGUGAGUAACACGUGAGUACCCUGCCCUUGACUGUGGGAUAACUUCAGGAAACUGGAGCUAUUACCGGAAAGGAUCUCCUGCUGAAUGGUGGGGGUUGGAAAGUUUCGGCGGUUGGGGAUGGACUGGCGGCUUAUGCGCUUGUUGGUGGGGUAGUGGCUUACCAAGGCUUUGCAGGGUAGCCGGCCUGAGAGGGUGAGAGGCCACACUGGGACGGAGGUGCGGCCCAGACUCGUACGGGAGGGAGCAGUGGGGAAGAUUGAACAAUGGAAGGAGCGCUUGUGCAGCAACGCCGCGGGCGGGAUGACGGCCUUGGGGUGGGAAAACGCUUUCGCCUGUGACGGGGCGUGAGUGACGGUAACGGGUAAAGAAGCACCGGCUAACUACGUG